AUAGCGAGCCCGAUGACAGCUUGACGUUUCCAUACUGAGACGCUGUCUUCGGCUGCCUCCUCCAUACUGAGCGAGCAUUGUCUUUCUCAUCGGCAUGGUGAGUUACAGAAGUUUGUAUGGUGAGCAUUCUGGCUAGCGCCAAAUUUUCUCAUGAGACGAUCUGGCGCGCCCCGUCGAUUCGAUGAGAUGCCUUACCACAUGAUAGUGAGGUCGGAUUUUGGAUCGGCUGCCGAUCUUGCUCAUAUGAGUUGAACGGUCUGCCGUAUGGUGAGGGCUCCGUGUGUGGCUGUGUGAUGUGUGUGUAUAUGUGAUGAUUCGCGAGACGGCAUAAAGUGUUUUGUUUGGAAGAAGGUUUCAUGCUGAAAUUUAAAAUUAGUGCGAUUCCCUGUGCAAUAUACCGGUUUUGUGGCAAUUACAGUGUUUAUUUAGUUCAUUUUACUGCAGUGCAAGUGUUUUGCAAGAUAUAUCCGUGAAUAGCCGAACGUAUAAAGAAGGAAGAAAGCAGUAAGACAACAGGGUGACAGCAAAAUGCAAUAGCUGGAUAAACCAGAUAAGUAUAAGAAAUUAUCAUUUAAAACAGUGGAAGAUGUUCGGAACAGGAAUUGUUAAAAGAUUAAUUAGUUAUGCUUUAUCGUCCUAAUGUUUCAGAUUCUUCUACAGCGGAUAUUUGAUGGCAAAAAGCGAGUGAAAAAAGAAUGCAACUAUGGACGGACGGCAUAAACCAACUCGAUUAAACUACUAUACAUCCCCGUGUUGUGCCAACAAUUAUAAGGGAAAUUAUACUGUGAAGCGUAUGCUGCACAAAAUUGUCCCGGUCUGCCAACCAUUUCCUCGCGCCCUUCUGAUUCGAUUGCUCAUGAUCAGACUGUACAAUUUUAAAAUGCAUACAUAACGGAAUGCAGCUUACUUUUUGACAACGUUUUUUUCCAAGUUUCAUAAGACAUUCAAGUGGUAUCGCUAUGAGCUGAAAUUUUAAUAUAAUAGACAUAUGAGGAAAGGGUCAAAACAGUAGCUAGAUAGGAUAACAUACAAUACGAAAAUCUUGCCCAGCAUCGUGCUAUCUAUCAACCAAACACAUCAUUAAUAGACAUGCUCAUUAUAGACUCGCAGGACGACUACAUUUGUCUUGUCGAUUACAAGCAGAUAGGAUAAUAUAGAAAAUAGGAUAGAAUAUUUAGUCAAAUGAGAUCAAAGCUAUAUGUUUAAUUCAGAGAAGGUAUUGUAACAUAAUGGUACACGACAGAUUGAAAAAGGGUAAGGCGUCAAAUACACGACGCGCGUUUCCGCGCCCGCGGAAACGCGUAUAAAAUCCAGCCAUAGGAAUUAAAUGUCAUUCGAAUGUGCUACAACGGAAACGCAAAG